GAUGAACGCUGGCGGCGUGCUUAACACAUGCAAGUCGAACGGAAAGGCCCUGCGUUUGUGGGGUGCUCGAGUGGCGAACGGGGGAGUAACACGUGAGUAACCUGCCCUUGACUUUGGGAUAACUUCAGGAAAAUGGGGCUAAUACCGGAUAGGAGCUCCUGCAGCAUGGUGGGGGAUGGAAAGUUUCGGCGGUUGGGGAUGGUCUCGCGGCUUAUCAGCUUGUUGGUGGGGUAGUGGCUUACCAAGGCUUUGAAUGGUAGCCGGCCUGGGAGGUGGGCCGGGCACCAGGGUCCUACGGUACGGCCCAGACUCCUACGGGACGCAGCAGUGGAGAAUAUUGCGGAAUGGGCGCAAGCCUGAUGCAGCAGCGCCCCGUUCGUGAUGCCCGCCUUCUGGUUGUAAACCGCUUUCGCCGUUGCCGAGGCGGUAGUGACGGUAAUGGGUAAAGAAGCACCGGCUAACUACGUG
rnacentral:rRNA from 1 species